UAAUCAAGUAUGGUAAGGCAUACUGGAUCAGGACCAGGUCCGGUCCAGACAAGGAUAACCUGAUGUAAAAUAUAAUCAAGUAUGGUAAGGCAUACUGGAUCAGGACCAGGUCCGGUCCUGACAAGGAUAGACUGAUGUAAAAUAUAACCAAGUAUGGUAAGGCACACUGCAAUAUCAGGACCAGGUCUAGAUCAAAUAAGAACAGCCUAGGUAGUAAAGAAUAUAGCCACUCCCUCUCUUCCCGUGGGUGUCGUAAGAGGCGACUAAGGGAUAACACAGUUCCACUACCACCUUGGAACCUAAGAAGCCGACCGAUGGCGGGAUAACCAUCUAACCGCUGGCUUUGAAACACACAGGCCGAAGAUGGGCAGCAGCGUCUUAGGUGCGACAAAGCCACUAAGUACACUAAGUUCGAACGCCCAUA
rnacentral:misc_RNA from 1 species